rnacentral:rRNA from 1 species
UACGUAGGGGGCAAGCGUUGUUCGGAAUUACUGGGCGUAAAGGGCGCGUAGGCGGCACGGCAAGUCAGGAGUGAAAGCCCUGGGCUCAACCCUGGAACUGCCUUUGAUACUGACGAUCUGGAGAUCGGGAGAGGUUGGUGGAAUUCCGAGUGUAGAGGUGAAAUUCGUAGAUAUUCGGAGGAACACCAGAAGCGAAGGCGGCCAACUGGCCCGAUACUGACGCUGAGGCGCGAAAGCGUGGGGAGCAAACAGG